rnacentral:rRNA from 1 species
AUGGCGACGGUAACGCCGGGGGUCUUGCUGCGCCUGCUGCAGGCGAUGCACACGGACGAGCGGGUCACCGGGGAGCACCGCUCCCCCGCGCUCCAGGUCACGGCGGUCGUGCCUGCGCUCACGGCCUCCACCGCCGACUCCCUGCUCUGCCCUUCCAAGGGCUUCCUCCUCCAGCUCUCCGACGGCCUCCACUCCACCUACGUCCAGCCCUCCCCCGCCGACGCCGACGCGCUCCUCUCCGCGCGCCCACACAUCGUCGGCCACCUGGUCCACCUCGACCGCCUCCGCUUCGCCAGCCCGGUCCCGCGCGCCGUCGGCCUCCGCCCUGUUCCGUCCUCCCGCUCCCUCCCCUGCGUCGGCAACCCUGAGCCGCUCAUCGUCCGCUCCGCGGCGUGCUCCCGGGGCUACGUCAUCAGGCCCGAUUCCUCCCCCGACGCUGCACCACCGCUCAUGCCGUCCGGCUCCGGCGGUGCGCCACCGUCUGAUGCGAUGGAUGUUGCCGUCAAAAGGACCGUUCUUGCUCCCAGGAACGGCCCCGAGGCCGCGGCGCUGCCAGGCGGUUCGGCCGCGAAGCGGCGGUUCUCGUCUCCGGCGCCGGCCAAGCAGCGAGAUCCGUCGCCUGCGGUGAAGGGAGCGUCCCGGGCGGCGUCUCCCUCUGUCAAGGGCGCCUCCAGAGCGUCGUCACCUGCCGUGAGAGGCACGUCCAGGUCGUCGUCGCCGGCCCCGUCGAAGUGUGUGGUUCCCAGCCUUGUUGCGGCCAAGGAGGAGAACCGCAGGGUCGCAAAGGAGCCAGCCAUUAUCGUGCCAUCGAGGUACAGGCAGCCUUCACCAGGAGGGAGAAGGGGAGCGGCCUCUCCAGGAGGCGGUGGCAGGCGGGGCUCCCUCUCACCCGGUUCCCGGAGGCUUUCGGGAGAAGGGGGCAGCAAGAAGAAGGUCGGGGUGUUGGUUUCUGGUAUCUCGAAGAUGACAGAUUUGGGGAGCGGGUCGGCCAUGAAGCCGGGGAGGAAGAGCUGGGACGAGUCGGCAAUGGCUCUUGCAGCUGCGGCCGCUGGCACGGUGAAGAAGUCCAAGGUCAAGGUGGACAGAGAUACUAUUCUGAGGACUCAGGAAGCAAUGUCACGGCGACUUAGUGACGCUACAACAGAGCUAUCGAGUAACGAUGACUCCUCUGUUGAUGAGAAGCCAAAACCACGAAAGAAGACAGAGUCUGCUGCAGGGAAGGCAAAAACAGCAGCUCCAAAAAUCAUACUUCAUGAUGCUAAAUGGACUGAUGGCAGCAUUCCACUGGUUGCAGUUUCAGAUAAACUUUCGAAGAUCGGAAAGGAAGCUGCUGAGCGGAGAGAUGCAGCAGCAGCCGCUGCAGCUGACGCUCUGCAGGAGGCAUUGAUCACUGAUUCAGUUAUCAGAAAUCUGAGCAAGUUCUCUGAACUUUGUUCGUUGUCGAAGACCGCGAAUCCACUCCCAACUGUCGAUUGUUUCCUUGCUGUCUAUGAAGACACUCUGAAGUGGAAGAAAAUCGCCGAGUCACUGGCCACCAACGGAGCAGAUGAAGCUGCAUUCUGGGAGAAAUCAGCCACUCAUUGGGUUGAGGCAGCAUUAGCAACCGAACUGGAGGUCCUCAAGCUUGUUAACAGCGCCACUGGAUCCAUCUACCAGAAGAAGAGCACUGAAAAGCCCAAGGCUCCUCCUGCAGUGGAACCACCAAGAACAAGCCUGUCCAAGAGGCCAUCUCUUGGAGCUUCUGCAAAGGUCCAGUCCAGGGCAUCACAUCUCCCUGCUGCAUGGCCUAAAACUCUGGGCAUGAACGAGACGGUUGAGCUUGCCCACACCUUGUGCCACGAGAUGCAUGUCUGGUUUCUGAAAUUUGUGAACGAGGCCAUGGAUGUGGGCUUCCACCUGUUUGAAGACCAGAACAUCGCAACUAGGGGAAAGCAGAGCGGCCAUAUCACGGUGGUCCUGUCGCAGUUCAAGAGGAUCAGCGACUGGCUGGACGGAGUCGGCAAGAUCGCCGACGAGGAUGCGACCAAGGACAAUGUGGAGCGCUUGAAGCGCAAGAUCUACCAGUUCGUCAUCAGCCGCAUGGGGUCUGCCUUCGAGAGCUCGGUCUCAGUUUCAGCAAAGAGCUGA